GGAGGCACAGACCAAGAAUGAACAUGGCCAUACUCGCUAAAACCAUUAGCGAGAGAAGUAAUGAGAAAUUCCAGACUAACAACUGGACUAAAGAAGCUGAAAUAACAAGCUUAAAGUAAAAGAGAGUAAAAAGCCAAGUAGAACAAGGAAAGGAAAUGAUGUGUAAGCAGUACCACCUCCCAAAGAAAGCAUAUUCCCAACGAUCAAAGAUCGUCUACAAAGAAAAGCAUUUCACCUCCAAAAGGAUACUUUUCUUAAAAACAUCCAUAGCUGUCCAUCGACUCAACAAUUAGUCAAGCACUAGGAACAAGAAUCUAAAACCAAAUCAACUCGAGAAAAAGAAAGCAGAAAAUACAAAGAAGUCGGGAAUAGAAUUCCCAAAGCACAUAAUUAUUAACACCACUUCAACUCCAAAAGAUCAUAUCUCGAAAGCAAGAUCCGUUCUCUUAGACAACUUACCCAUACGAACAACACAAUCGAACACCGAUGAACACAGAACACCACAUCCUUCGUUCAACCAAAAAAAGCAAUUGCAUCUUGGAGUCGGUUCGUCAUCAAAACCACGGAUCGAAAACAUCCUUCACAAAGAAAAGAGACCAAAUUCCACGGGAAGAGACAGAUGGAGAGGCCCAGGCAGAGAAACAGAGGCAGGAGAAAAGAUCGGAUUUUUACGGUCUAGAUCAAAUCAGAUGGAGCAAGGCAACGACGGGGAACGCGCAGCACACAUCAAAGGCAGCAGAACAUCCACUGAUUCCCCCUGAAGUCUAGGAUGCGGCCGACUGACCCACAGUAGGGCGAUUGCUUCGUGUGCUCCUCCCUGUUCCUCUCCCCGAUCGAAGAUCAGAGUCCGAUUCGGAAAAUGGAAGCGAUCGGAGCACUUGUGUUCUUUGAAUCGGGAUCAAAUAUAGAUUAAGACCGCAGGGAAUCGAGGGGAAGAAUGGGAUGAGAUGAGGAAGAAGUGGGAAGAAAGGGGGGAACGAGAGGACCGAGAUGGGAAUGAGGUGGAGGACAAUUGCUGAGUUUUAUACGCAUGCCGCGACAGCCACGUCAGCGUUCGUAAUGAAGCUAAUGGAUCCAACGUCGGUUGACGGUUUCGGAUGAGGGUUUGGUUAUUAGUGAUCGGAAUCGGGUCGAACUGAGAUGAUCGGAAAAAUAAAAAUAAAAAUUAGAUUUUUGAUCGAAUCGAUUUAAUUAUUGAAUGAGUUAUGUUAAGAAUAAAAUGAAUCGGUCGACUCGACCGAUUUUUUUUUAUAGCCACGUAAGAAUCGAUUGAGAUAAAUAAAACUAAUUUGAUUUUGUAAAUAUAUUAGUAUUACUUAGAUUCCAUUAAUUUAAUUGUUUUAAUUUAUUUAAAAAUAUUUAUAUCAAUUUUGAAAUUAGGAUUAAUAUAAGAAAGUAAUAUCUCCCAUGCAAUCAAUUCUCUCUCUCAUUCUCCCUCCAUUCCUCAUUCUCCCUCCAUUCCUCAUCUCAUAUAGCAUAUAUUUUUUUAAUAAACUAAUAUCAAUUAUUUAUUCAAAAGGAUAUUUAUGUUAAUUUUAAAAUUAUGUUUAACUUAAGAUAGAAAAUGACCUCUUUGGUGCAUUUCUUCCUCCUAUCGUCUUUCUCUUUCUAAUAUUAUGAUUUUAUCAUUUGUAAGAUAGAGAGUGAAUUUGAUGUUUAUAAGACCUUAUGCUCACGAGAAAUUAUCUAUUUUGAGUGGAUCCAAAUAUUUUUUUUUUUGGUCAAGGGUGACUUUGGUACUUAUAGAAAUUAUAUCUUGAGUGUACUUACGAUAAAUUAUCUAUUUUAGAUGAACCUUACAUGAUUUACCAAAAGGGUCUCUUAGGAUAGAAUAUGACUAUAAACCUUACAUGAUUUGCCAAAAAGAUCUCUUAGGAUAGAAUAUGACUCUGAUGCUCAUAAGACCUUGCUCCUGAAAAAUCAUCUAUUUUGGAUAAGUCCUAAAAAGAACUUAUAAGAGUUAAGGUGAACUUAUAAGGGGUAAGGGUGACUUUAUUGUCUCAUGAAAACUAUUUACAUCGGGUGAGCCUCUCAUGGUUUUGCUGCUCCUCCUUUCGGGUGAGAUUUUGUGUUGUCUUCCCCAACACGAACACAUGAGGAAUUGUCUUCUUUCGAUAGAUCUUAUAUUGUUUUAUUUUGUUUAUAAUGUAUCCCAAAAAAGUGUAUUUUAAGGUUAGAUCAUGACUUUGACAUCUGUAAGAUCUAGAUUCAGUCGUAAACUGGGGUGAGGGAUGAAAAAGGUUUUGAACUCAUGCCAACAGAGAGUACUCGGGCCUUUGCUCAGUGAGGAACUCCUUGCCAUACGGACAAUGCAAGGUCUAAUAACGGGAUGAACUACUUCAUGUCAAGAUCGAACUCCUUGCUUUGACUACAGAGGCCAGUGACAAGUAGAGAACUUCUAAUAGUCGAACAUCAUCACACAGUAACAAAAUUUCUUAUCUUAUCACAGGUAAUGAGAUGCCAUUCAACAACGAUAAGUUCAAAGAGUUCUACGCUAACUAUCAGACUGAAGUAACAAAUCCUCAAGCUGUCCAAUUCUUCAAAUCCGAUCUUCGAAUCAGAAUAAGAAAAAGCACAUCAUCCUCUUGUGGUUCUUGUUUGCCCAAAGAGACCACCACUGAAAGAACUGCAGAACAACUGGUCGAGGAUCUUUGAUUACCAAAACAAGCAGCCUCAUGAGUAAAUACCAGCAGUUGCAGUAGCAAAAUCAUUCAAGAAAAUCCAAGGAGCUCUACAAGUAUCUAACAAUAAGAACUCUGGAAGUCAGAGGGCAGCCUAAAUCAUAUCAAACACGAGACUAGCUAGAGAUGCAAUGUCUGAAGCUGAUCUAAUGGCAAGAAUGCUACUGCAGGAUUAGCCAACGAACCUCAAGGCAAGAAUCAACUUGACCCAUUAAGUGGUGGUUUGUAUGAAAGUCUCACGGUAGAAUAAAUUACAGAUGGUUCAGCCAUUGCACCGUUUCCAUAAUCUCCGCAUGCCAACCUCUUGGUGACGGGAGGGAUGAGAUUAACACCAAGCUCGUUGAUUGCAUCUAGAUGGCGCUUUGUAAAGGGAUUAUUCCACAUGAAGGUGUUCAUAGCAGGAGCAACAAAUAUAGGCUUGCUGUAGUCCCAGGCUCGCACAAUACACGUCAGUAGGUUGUCACACAAUCCUCCUGCAAUCUAUACAACGAAGAGCAAAAACUUUAAGAAAAAGGUGAAAAAAAUAUAUAUUUGGCACACAAACUAUGUAGUCAAGUAAUCUUUGUACCUUCGCAAGAGUAUUUGCUGACAGUGGGGCAAUAACCAUGAUAUCAGCCCAUUUCCGAAGCUCAAUGUGCAAUACUCCAUCCCCAAUCUUCUUCCAACUAGACCAUUCAUCAUCGUCUGUAUAAAGGAUCACAUCCCUGGGGAAUGAUGCUUUAUCGAGAAAAUGCAAGGAUGAUUUGGUAGCAACUGCCCUAACUUCUGCCCACUCCAGAAAACUACGGCAUAAAAUCUCAAAUUUAAUAGCAGCAACACUUCCAGACACAGCCAAGAGGAUCCUUGGUUUAACAGGCUGAAUAUUGUCAUGCUUCAUAUUUUCUGAUGCUAUUUCGAUAUUAGCCAUCAUGCAUUCAACGCACUAGGAAAAAUUUCCUUCCACUGCAUAAAAAAUGAUGGUCAUCUUUUACAGAUUUCCACCAGGCAUUAUCAAAGGGCAAGGAAAUCCUAAGCAAGCAUCAUCUUUAAAAGAAAUCCAUAUAUAAAGUGAACCUUUUGUACUAGUACAGCUUCCCAAGAACAUGGUCAAAACAACUCCAACCAUGAGAAGACCAUCGCAUCCAAGCAGAAUGAUUCAAUAAACUGGAAGCUGGAAACAUUAACAUAACGUUAGUCCUUUGUACAGAAAAGCGAUUAUCAAAGAAGACAUAAAUUGCACGAAACUGACCGACCAACUAUAGCUAUGAGAAAUUAUUGAUGUUCGGGUAGGCUGAUACAAAUGCUUAUCUUUAAAAUGUGCUUUAGUUUGCUUGAAACAAUCGGUUUCAAUCUCUUAUCCAUGAGUGUGGAGAAACAGCUUAAGAUGAAGCUAUAAAUUAUAUAUUUACAUACUUAUAUGAAUGAGCAUGAAAGUCCAAUAACAACACCAACAACAAGGCUGUAAUGUCUCAACAUUUAGGGUUCUACCUAGAUCCUUUUGCCACCAUUGAGCUAUAUAAAAAAGCCAUAUCCUUAAUUAAAAUUUAAAUUUUUACUUAAUAGUUUUUAGUAAAAUGUUGUUAGGCCUGCCUCUAUCUCUCUUCUUACCAAUCAUUUCACCUCUUCUAACAACAAUAUCUAUGAGUCUUCUUAGGGCAUCUUAAACAAAUUUUCCAUGGAUUACACGUUUUUUAUGACGAAUAAGCACAAACAUAAUAAUUUAAUCUUUAAUAUUUUUAUCCUCACAAAACUAAAGAACACAAAAUUUUCAGCAACCCUAGUUUCAGAACUUCCAUCAAUCUAGUUUUGGAUCGUCCAUCCCUCUCCCCGGUGUGGUUUCUUCAUAGGCCAAUUCGCGAUCAGUGAUCCGUUACUCAGUAUUUUCCGGUUGCCGCCCAAUGUCUAAGCCCCCUUUACCGUCGCGGGCGAUUUCCAGCAACCGGAUUGGGAGAUGAAGAAGCAAUGGGAGGAGAGGUGAAGAGACAGAGAGGGGACAAGUACGAAUUAAAUAUUACGACAGCGCGCCGAAGAUCAAAAGCUAACCUCUCGCCGGUGUGCUCGCCGAAUACCACCGCUGCUUCGACGCUCACCGCAGACGAUAAGAAGGGAUCGUGAGAGAGAGAGCUUAUAUAAUGGACAGACAUGAGGGUAAUUUAGUCAUUUUACAUGUAGACGGAAAUUAAACGGCGACGAAACAGCACCAUCUCGUCCCCAAAUUCCUCCGCUAUUCACCCUCAGCCUUUGGCCACCGCCGCCGCCCCCCUCGAUCGCUUCAUCCCCGGCGGUAACCCACUCGCCACCGUGCCGCCCCCCACGUCUCCGCGGUCCAGUCCUGCUUCCAUUCUUCUACUUCGCCAAAUUGAGUGAUGGGUUUAAUCAUAUGUUAUGAUUGCAAUCCAUAGCCAGCUCAAGUCAGAUUCAAUUCAAAGAUCGAUUCGGCUCGGUUCGAGUCUGACUCACCGACGGGUCGAGUCGUGGAAUAGGAAAAGCCUUAUGGGUAAUUACGGACCGAUCAAGCCCACAUAAGCAACUAUAUUACCCGACCCAACCUGAUCGAUAACAGCAGCAGAACACCAUGGCGUCGUUUGGGUUGGGAAAGAUGAGCGACUUCCUUCUGCCGACGCUGUCGCGGAAGCGCGACGUGGACUGCAUCAUCCGCGACACCCUCGACAAGGUCCUCGUCCUCCGCUUCGGCCGCGCCGCCGACCCUCUGUGCCUCCACUUCGACGAAAUCGUACGCUGCGCCCCUCUCCUCCCAUAUCUUGUACUUCGUCUUCUCGGUGCUUGGCGAAGCCUCUGAUCUCGUGUGGCCUUCUGGCGCGCAGCUCUCCAAGACGUCUCGUGAGGUCUCUAAGUUCGCGACGAUCGCGCUGGUGGACGUCGACUCCGAGGAGAUUCAGGUCUACGUCAAGUACUUCGAUAUCACCUUGGUACCCUCCACCGUCUUCUUCUUCAAUGCUCAUCAUAUGAAGAUGGACUCCGGGUAAUUCAAUUACAUCCCUAGAUGAACAUCUUGUUUCUGUCAUCAACUCUCUUUAUGUCUUGCCCGGUUCUGCGUUUCGUAGGAAAUUUUAACCUUCCGCUUAGGUAAUUUCUUUUUGCCCUAAAUAUUUGAUUUGAUAUGUAGGUUUCUGCAAGUACGAAGGCUGUAAUUUAUUAGGGCAUGCACAAGAUGUCACCCUUUCUACGAUAUCUUAUUUAUUUUGCCCUAAAUUUUAGUGGUAAAUUUUCCUUGACAUGAAUACUUGUCACAAGGAUGUUUAGAAUUAUUAGGUGUAGUCGAUAUGUCUUAUAAAUUAGUGGCCUGUAGAUAAAAGUCCGCUAAUUUGACAUUUGACAUGUUAUUACGAUGAUUGUAGAGAAUAGCAAAUGCAAUAGUAGCAUCAUCUCCUCUGUUUCACAUCGUAGCCUGAUUGGAUAUCCUAAAAUUUCAUCCGAAGCUGAACCUUAUUAAUUAUCUAGGUAUCUGAACUGAAACCAUAUACGGGUUACCUACAUUUAUACCGAACUCAUCCCAAACCCUAUCGAAGGAAACCCUAUCUAAGGGUACCAGAACCUUGUUUUGCUCGGUUGGGUAUAUUUGGAUGCUCAAAAGAACCCAACCUACUAAGCUGAACCUAGAAGUAACAUUAGGUUAGGCUACUUGCUAAUCCAACCAGUCUGUCUACCUAUGUACCUGAACCCGACUGGAGCACAUUCAUCCUCACCUGAACCUGUUUCCUAGCUGAUUAAAGGGUAAACAAGUUCAUUAUAAGCGGAUCAAGUAGACCAAGGUGCAAAAAAAAUAAUAAUAAUAAAUAAAUACCUCUGCCAUCCCAAAUUAUGGCUCCCCUCUCUUCUCCUUUCCCGCUUUUUUACUCUCCCCUCUUCUUUUUUGUCUUUUGAGGCUGUCAGAUUGGCUGGAAUUGGUCAAAACUGGCCAACUCUGGUAGUGAUUUGUAGAUUCUAGUCAAAAUCCACUGACUUAUUACUAUAAACUGGGAAGUCAACAAAAAUUGGAGUGGCCUUUGACGAUAAUGAUAUGGAUUCUAUUCCUUUUUAUAGUGAUUUAGUUCUAUUCUUUAAUGACUAUUUUCACCUUAAAUGUAACUUGAUUAGUGAAUUUUUCGGCCAUGUGUCUCUUGGUAAACUGUAUUUUUUAUUGUAUUCAGGACUGCUGAUCAUACUAAGUGGGUUGGAUCUUUUCAUAGCAAACAAGACUUAAUCGAUGUUGUUGAGGUGAGUGCCAUGCUCCUCACUUGGAAGGUCCUUUUUCUGAAUUAAAUAUAUUAUAUUCAGUUUCAUCUACUGAAUUCAUUAAGCUUAAGAUGAUGCUACAUGAUAGGUUAGUCUUAAUAUCAGUAGAACAAAAGCUAGAAGAUUUUUUUUUUUCAUUUCAUAAUUUGAGAAUACAGUUACGUAGUUUGAUUUUGGACGUCCGAGAUACUUAUUCUUUCUUGGAUUGUAUGGGAAAAAAAAAAUGGAACUGAAUGACUUCUGUAGCAAAGUUUGUAGAACUUAGAUAAUUUUUUGUGUCUGUAAGAAAUGAAGAUGUCCUUUUUGAUGAAUAAGUAGGAAUUAUCCCUUGUCACUGAGACUUUAUCAUCAGAUCUUCCUAAUCUAGUUAGCUGGCUUCCAAAUGCAAUUAUCUUCAUCCAUGAUUACCAGUAUAGUUGGUCUGUUAUAUUGGUUUUUCUCUUCUGGUAAUAUUUUUCGCAAGAGAUUAAACCUGUCAUCAAGGCUCAUAUGAUCAAGAAUGGGAUUGGGAUUAGCUAACUGCAUUAUGAUUGAGAUUCAUUACAUCUGAUCAGUUGGAGCAGGAUAAAUUGAGAGAAUAAUUUAAACAUGAAAAGUGUAGAAAUUAUAAAAAUAACAAAGUCUGGAAAACAAAAUAUAAAAAAAUGAUAGUUUUUCGAAAGAGUAAAACAAUAUGUUUUAUGUAAAGCCACAGUUGUCAGUUUCUAAUUUCUUUGACUUGGCCAUAUCUUCUUAAUUUAAUAUGAAUAGCUGCACAUUGUAUUCCUGAACUUCUUAUGUAUGAAAAUGUGAAAAUAUCUGUCUAUGUACCAGCUUAUGCAAUCUGGGGGUGAUUCCAUGGGAUGGGCUGCAUAUCAUACAUAGAUGAUUGAACCUUAGAAGUUUACCUUAUGGAUAUGCAUAUGAUACCUUAGAAAUGAUGGGGGAUAAUAUAUCUGAACUGGAUGUCUUCAUUUUAGAAUAAGACUGCUAUCUGCUGAUGUCGCCACCCUCAUCUACCAACACAGUUGACUGUUACCUGAGUACGGAGGAUGACCUUUAGAAUUGCUCUAGGCAUAACCUUUUUUUACAUGAUAUAUAAUUCACCAUCUAACUCAUACAUUAACAUUCUGACUAUCUUUCAAAACACAACAACAGAAAGUUCUAAUAUUUUGAUCAACAUAAACCAACUACUAAGUGCUCAAGAAUUUAGUGGCGAUGUGUAUCUCAUCGUUCAACCAACAUUUCUGGACAGUGGAGGGACCAUCUGUUUUUGGGGUAUAUUCUGUAUAUUUAACUCCCAACUGAUUUGAUGAAAUCGUAUUUGAACUUGCUUUUGGUCUGGUUGAAAAUUUGCAGAACUUUGUAGAACUUUGUGUUUUUUUUUUCAAAGAAAGGCAAAUUAGAGAAACUUAGAAAACAAACUUAUAAAAUAUCCGGAGUUUCUCUAGUCCAAAAAAAUAGCAGAUACAUUCUGUCUAGCAUAAUUAGCAAGAUUGUGAGCCUUGUUAAGGUCUCUUGGGAUGUAACUCCAGUUGGAAACCUUCACUGUCUUAGCUAGAUGGAGGAUGUCUUUGCAUAGAAACCUUCACUGAUCUCACCCAGAUUUGAGUAAAUCCAAGUUGUAGUGCACAUUGAAGCCCCACUUAACUGCCAAUCAUUCUGCUUGGAAAGCAUCAGAAAGUCAUCUAUGGUUGCACCUCCUGCAACAAUAAUACCCUCAAGUCACUAAAAACAAAAUGUGUGUGUAGAACUUUGUUAUUUGAAUAGUUUCUGCCGAUUUCUAUAGCCAAAGUCUAGCUCUAGUUAAGAAUAUUAUUCAAUAUUCAGUAGCAUGCUGUAACAUCCGACUAAAAAGGACCCAAGCUUCCAUCUACCUUAAAUUUCUUCCCUUUUCAUGUUUCCUUUUUCUUUCUUUGUUCACUUUUACAAGUUCUCGAGGCUGUUUGCUUUACCUUUCGGCAUGCUGUUCUCAUCUGGUAAGUUUAUCCUCUUCAAAAGUUUCUUUUCCCUACCCGAAAAAGAAAUAUCUCUCUCCAAGUAGCCAUCCUACCCAGAAUGAAACUUGCAGUUAGAAAUUUUACUUGUUGAGUCAUCAAUAGUUCCUUCUUCUCACUAAUGUUUGUUAUCUAGCAGCAGUCUAUAAUGUAAUAUUAUUAUGAUGCCUCUUUAUAAUAAAUAGAUUCUCCCAAAAGAAGCCAUAUAACCUUUAUAUUUUGUUGCCUCUCGUAGGCUAUAUUUAGAGGGGCGAUGAAAGGCAAGCUGAUCGUUAGCUGUCCACUUCCACCAGAGAGGAUACCCAGAUUUCAGCUGCUCUUCAAGGACGUGUAGGGAUGAGCUGGAAGGUGGACGUGAUAGUGUGUCGAAGGGGAUGACAUAAUGACUCUUGGUAUUCAUCCUCUUAACGGUUCUUUUAGUAGCUUCUAAUCAAGUGUCAAAUGCACAUGAAUCAUUGUGUCAAAUGACAUGUUCAAGCAUUCUAAAAUCCCUUGGAUCGAUCAUUUUCCUGUAAGCUGUGUACAUAUAUUAUUUUGCUUCAUUGCAUACAAAUACGAGCAUUAUUUGCUUCAUUCAGUGUUAGAUACAAAUUUGGAAAAACAUUACUUGAAAUACAAAUUUGCUUUGUUAUGGAAAUAUAGUUAUUUGCUAUCUCCAUGCACCAAUUUUACUCUAUGGAUUCUUAAUCUAAUGAUUUAAGCUUGUUCGACUUAGUGGAGUCUGAUCUCCCCCCAUCUCAUCUUCUAACCUUCUCACUGUCCUUCAUUCCUUACAGAUGAAACCAGUAAACAAUUUUUUCUCCCACUCCUCAUCACAUGCAUGUAAUACGAUUAAAGCAAGCCAUCUAAGUUUUCUUCCUCUCUUCUUUUUUUUUUGGUCUGGGUAACAAGUAAUACGAUUAAAGCAAUGAUAAUAACCAAAUGCAGAUAGAAGCAUGCUACAGUAUCCAGGACUCAAUUAUCAAAAGAAAACGUGAUUUGUCAUCAAGAAGAACUUGCAAGUUGCAAGACACUGUCAAGUCCCUUGACUUCAACCAACACAAGCACAAUCUAAUUCAAACGCCAUGUGAGGAACUCGGAAGACAACCAAUUUUGUCUUUGGCUUACCCUUGGCCAAUGAGAACACUGCUUUUAAUCAAAAGCCUCUUGAAUAGAGCGUUGAAACAACAGUUUUCUUCCACCCAAGCCUCCAAAUUAGACUGCAUAAAGAGCGCAGUCCGAACAAACGCAUUUCUUGAGGCCAACUGUGGUGGAUGAUGCUGCAAGUAAUAAGCCCACUAGCUUUCAUUUCCAGUCUGGUCUUCACACGCACCUGCAUUAAAAGGCAUCAAUAGAAGCUUGGAAUACAACCAUUCUUCCCCAGAAGGGCGAGAAAUACUGGCCAACUACACCAGUAAAGGUUGUCCAUGAAAAGCAUCUUAAAUGAAGGCACUAGUCAUAAGAAAAAACCAGAUGUAUUAAGCAUUUUUAUGUGAAAACAACUGCUAAAAUUUACGAUACUAAAUAAUUAAAACACUAAAUAACAUUUGUGAGCAGCUUCCUCUGAAUCUACUUAUGAGAUGGAACAGAAUAGUAAGCGGUAGCUGUUAGUCAACGACAGACAUAUUAAGAAUUGAAAGUUCUCGCUAUGCAAAUCCAAAAAUAGUUUCUAAUAUUUUGCAUGAUAACCCAUUAAAAGUGACCACCGGGAAGCCGUGGGAAGCAACUUACUUGAUUGCUUCGUGACAAACACAAUCACUGCUAGAUCAUGAAUCCAUGAAUCUUCAUGAGAUGUCAAAGAACAGAAGCAAUAAACGCAUCAAACAUCAUGAGGAAGCAAAUGAAACCAUGAAACUCACAUUCCAUACAAUUAUGUUAAUUUCCUGAAAUGUAAUAGAUGAUGUGGAUGCACUAAAAUGAGAGAUAAGCAUCAAAAGUUGCAAGGAUAUUCUUGUUUGAAAAAUGAGAAUAAGAAGCCUGCAUUUUCUUGAAAAAAGUAAUCGGUGAUCCCUUAAAAUGCUAUAGUUCUCAUCACCUGGAGCAAUUAAAUCUCUUGAGAGAAUCUACAUGAACUCUUCUGAUAAUAACAAUGCUAUUAAGCUUCUGCUCCAAACAUCUAGUACGUAAGUUACGGAUAAUCUAAAGCUAUAUUUAGAUAAAACCUACACAAGUAGGUUGGAUAAUUACACUGUAUAUAGGAAAAUAUUAACAGAAUUAGCUUUGAAGAUUUUGUUUCAUGCAUGACUUAAUAAGCUCCCAACAACACAACUAUGAAGUUAUCCACCAACUAUGAAAUAUGCAAUCAAAUAGAUAGAAAAUUAGUUCAGAAAGGUUUUACUCUUAGGCAUCCAAUUUACAAUGUAUGAGAUUAAUAAGCUACACAAAACCUAAAGUCAUCCAUCAAAAAUUCUAUUUUCUUCCACAGAAUAAAUGGUUCAAAUCCUGAUAAAUGGUGGUUCAGCAUAAAUGAAAGCUAAUAUGAGUGGAGACCAUUUAAAAGGUAAACAUAUAUGGCAGUAAUACAAAAUUCAAUCUGAGAACGGUGUUGUUUUAUUUUUUUUCCAAGUACCAAGAUCAAACAGAACUACUACAUCUGAAAAUAAUCUUUUGGGUGAACAGAUUAAGCCUGUAUUCAAAUGGUUUAACUACUGCGAUCAGUAUGUCACAACACUACAAAACAGAUCAAGAAUGGGUUCAAUUGAAGAUGUAAAAGGACAACAAUUGGAAAGGCGAAAGCUUUAUACCCUAGAUCUUGAUGAUCUUGGCAGCUUUGACCACAGGAUUAGCCUUAGCAAUCUCCUCCCUCCCCAACGCCUUGUAAUCGAAUGAGCAAUCAUGAGUGUCGGAAUACCGGUGGCGACCGCAGAAGAGAUCCCCGCAUCGGCACCGGAAUCCGGUCAGCCCCACCUUUCUCCCGCAAGUGGAGCACCCGUUGAUGAAUUUUACCUGCGGUUUGGAUUCCUCCUCAGGCUUCGACUCCUUGUCGGUCUUGGGCGUGGUAGAUGCCGCGACGGCGGUCUCCGUAGCCGUAGUCUCCGCUCUCGGGUUCGGUGAUUGCUCGCAAGGUUUCAAGAACAGAGACGGGGGUAACGGGGACGAUGAUGGAGGAGCGGGAGUCGACGGGGAAGGGGAGGAAGGUUUGAGGAUUUCGGCUUCGUCUUUGUCAAGAUUACAACUUUCUCGAGCCAUUUGAUGCACUGGAACAGAUGCGAACACAAGCAGAUCGAGGAUAUUGGAGCCGAACAGGAUUAAGAACUAAGAAUAAGUUUCAAGGAUCGAUAAAAGAGGGAUAUCUGAAGUCUCCAAUCGACGUGAUGGGUGAAAAAAAGAGGUUUUCAGGACGGAUUCAUAAGAAAUCAAAUAAAAUUCGAUCUCAACCCUCAAAAAGGGACGAAUUUUCCAACAAAAAAAGCGCAAAAAAUCAGUAGUCAGGAGGGACUAAAUCUGCAGCGGAUCGAUCAGGAUGUAAGCUUCGUUGAACGCGAAAUCGAAUCGGAGACAGGAUGAGGCUGUCAGAGAUUUUUCCCCAUGCUUCCUAGGAAUCAAGUUCGAAGGGCAGCAACAACCGAGAAGAUGAUCAGAAAGAGGGGAACCCUGAUCGAUCCGAUCGAGGAAGUGGCGAAACAAUCGGUGGAAACAGGGGAAGAUGAAGGAAAAGUAAAGGUGGGAACUUCGGAGGCGGUGGAGGAAAAGGACGAAUAAAUGGGAAUACAUCCGUCGCAAUACAAAUGAUAAGGCGAUUAAAAUAAAGCAAAAUGGUCGAAAUAAUCUUCGUGUCCAAGCGAAAUUCCACGCUGUAAUAUUCUUUUCUUUUCCGCAACACAUUUCAGUCAACUUAAAUUAGAUUAAAAAUAUUUAUUAAUUAAUUUUUGAAAAAGACUUUCCCAAUAUCCCGAUUCAACUCAGAACGGAUCGAGUCUCAGCGACCGCCUGAUUCAACUCAGAUCGGGUCGAGUCUGAGUCGAGCUGAUUUGUCCUCUGGUCCGAUUGAACCACAUGGCUCAACCUUCAACCCAAACCACCACCCCAACCCAACCCCACGCGCACCCGUGCUCUAAACGCAGCCUCUCUUUCUCCCCAUCGACUGCGGCAGUGCGGCUUAGCCUCGGUGCACGGUGACUGAUUUCGUCUCCAUCGGCGAACGGCGGCAGCUUCUUCCCCUCCCGUUAUCUCUCCCUCUCCUUCUCGUCCUCCUCCUUCGCCGUCGCACACUCCCUUCUCCGCCCUCCUUCCUCUUCCCCUCCGUCGUCACAGCUCCGUCUCGACCGGAAUCCGGUCAGCCCAGCGCCUUUGACGACACUGGGCAGGAGGGGAAUCCUUCCAUUUCUCCGUGCCGUAACAUUCGUGCUUGAUGCUUAUCCCUUGAUCAACAGUAGAAGACUCGAGAAUCUGUCAUCGUCGGGCCUUCGAGGAUUAAAAGAAAAUCCCAUCGAUCGCAAAGACGAAGCGCGAGGACUGUUUUGGCCAUGGAAGAGGGAGCGAAGGGCGGUAGCGAAAGCUCAGGGCUCGAAACCCUAGUCCUUGAGAAGGUUGGGGAGGUCUCAUCCGCGAUCGAUGCCGCGAAGCACGUCGACGAAGUGAUCUGCGCCCUCUACUCCCUUGCUGUCCGCAUAUUUCCCGUCGACUACUCUGCCCUUUGCGGUUCGAUUUCGGAUCCUUCACGUCUCUUUCUCUUGGAAUGGGUCUUUUUGUCGUACUUUUUCUGUCGUAGUGUCACUUAUUUGUUGAAUGAUAGAUGGAUUUGCACUGAAAAGGAAAAAAAAACUUAGGAGCUUAUGAUUGGGGGAGGCAUCUGAAUUUUUUGACGUGUCUGAAAAUUUAUUUAUUUUCUUAAAACAAAACGGCUCAUUGCAAUAUUUGGUUACUUUGCAGAUACCAUCGAUCCUGCUCAGAGAAGCAAGGUACUACUCUGGUCCACAAUGCUACUUGGUUUGAUAUCUCACACAGAGGAGGUUCUUAACGUUUUGUGUUAUCUAUUUAUGCAACUACAAUAGUGUCCACAAGAAAAUUCUGAACUUGAUGUGAAAAAUAAAUAAUGUAAAGAUGGUUGUAAUUCUAAUUAAAGGUGAGAUAAUGCCUGGAAUCGAAAACAUAGAUGCAGAGAAGAAGAAUUCAUUGAUAAGAAAAAGGUGCUAGGGUGAACAUCCAGCUAAAGAUUGAAAACUAAAAGAGUGGCUCAGUGCCCAAGGCCUUGUGCACUGGUGUACACCUGUGGAUUUUCAAUUUAAGGGGUGUUUCUUCUCAGGGACUUUCGAGUUAAAUUUUAUUUUGAACAAGAACUUAUGCUAUAUACAAUCCCUGACAUUCAAUUCCAACAAUUAUCUAUAUUUAGUUUAGUAGCAGUUGUAUAAGGUCCCCUAAAAUCAUGUUUGUUUGCUAUGCACUUAUAUACUUACAAACAUGUAGUUGUCAUCAUUUAUGAAUAAAUUCUCUCUUCCUGGAACUUGCGAUGGCUGGAAUGAAUGAUCCAUUUUGCAUAUCUUGAAACCUGUUCAAAGAUCCUGUACACCCCGUUGUAGUAAACUAGCAUGUCCUCAACAUAGAGUUGAACUCAGAUUAUGAAUCUUCUUUUACUUGCAUUCAAUUUAGUAAAGUUGCUUACUUGCAUGAAUAUGUAGUUUGGGACACUCUUCAUGGCUUAAUUUUUGGGUGUAUUGCUUUAGAUAUCACUACAUCCUUUGAAUGUUAGAAGUGUUCUUUGCCUGAUUAUUGGUUGAAGCAUUAACCAUCCUUUGUUUUCUUACUUUUACACAAAUCUUUUGAUUACAGAUGAUUCUUUUUUUGUCUAUCAUCCAUAUUUAUUAUUUUGAAAGGAUUAUAUGAAUAAACAUACUAUGCAUGCUUUAAUCUCCAAUAUUAGACUGAGCUCACGAUUUUGAGAUUUGAUCCACUUCGAGUGUCCAUUUUUUUUGUUUUAUGUGUGGGGGUUCAGUGAUGGGUGUCACAUGGUGCUUACAGUCCACAAAUAACCCUUACCAUAAUAGUAACUUGUGGCUGACUAGAUCCAUGCCUUACCAUGUUAGCAUGAGGCAUUCUGGAAGAAGCUGCACUGUCCUUACUAAGCGUGGAGAACUGUAUCUAGUAUUUCAGCUGCUACAAAAUUUUGAAAAUCCUGAAGUUAAGUGUUAUGUUUUUGCUUCCAGUUGAGAGAAUCAGCCUAAUCUAGUUGACUUUGAUUGACAUCAAACCCUUCCUGCUAAUAAUAUGGUCAAGAAAUCGGUCAAAAUUGGAUCAACCUUGGAUGCUAUUGAUACAUAUCAGAUGUGUUGUAUCAAAAUUACCACAAACCGAGGUCUUCUUAUUUUGUUUACCACUGUUUUUCAGGUACAUGAGAUACUAUCUCCUGCCCCUGCUGAAAGCGGUGAAUGGAGGCAGGCUUUCUACUAUGGACCUGCGUUUCCAACCUUGGCUAGGAUAUUGAUCUAUAGUAAGUUUCAUUCUUUAGUUGAAACAUCUUUAUUGUGAUAAGAUAUGCUGGAUCUAAUAGAGUUUUCUCUAAGUUGACACAUAUUUCUAUAUGUAAAUAUAUGAAUUAUAUGUCAAUUUUUUCCUAUGAUACCAUAUGACUAAUGCUAUCUUCAAAUUUUCAAAUCCCAUGGUUGUCCGUAUAUACUGAUUUUUAUGGUUCUAACAUGUGUAUGUACUGAUUUAUCACUAAUCUUGUGUUCAACUUUUUCCUCUCUUUUUUUCAUUCCUUUAUCUACGAAGAAAGCAGGAAAAAAUAAACUUCUUCCGCCCCUUUUUUCCUUCAUUCUCUCCUCCUCAUUUGUUCUCAGGCUUGGCUGCACCCUUCCAGAUUGCCUCCCCUUCUCUCAUCAUUCUCAUUCCAUUCUCGGAUGGGGCUAGUUGGGUCUGGGAAUCAGCAACUUUGCUUCCUCAUCCCUUCCUCUUGCAUCCUUUUUCUCUCUUUUCAUUUUCCUUUCUAGUUUAUUAUCUGACAAUUGGAACUGUCUGAAUUGGUCAAGAUGUCCAAUUCUGUUAGAGAUCUGUUGAUGUUGAUCAAUUCUGGCUUUUGGCAUUGAAGUGGGCAAAACGAUCUAAAUCAGGUUGGCUGAUUUGGUGAGCCAUGCUUGUCUGCUAAACUGAAAAUUAAGGUGUAUAUGUGCAAACAUGAACCUUUAGAAUGAUGCAUCCAAAUACUUUUUUAAUAACUAGCAUUUGAUUUGUGAAUGUGAUAUAUUCUUUAGUAAUUAUAAUUCAUAUCUCCAUUCGGAAAAAUAGACUGCAACAAUUUUAUUGUAAGAACUUGUUCUUCAUUGAAAAGCCUGUGCGAGUGCAUGCUAUUAAAAAUGCAGAAUUAAUUUGAGCUGAUGGUAACAUUCUUUGUAAAGAAAGUAGCUUUAGAUGACUGGCACACGUUUUAGUAAAAGGUUUUCUAAGUGCUUGAUAAUUGUCAUAUCUAAUGUGCAGAUGUUGCAAAAGACUGGCUUGCAUGCUUUUCUUCAUCUACGAAGAAGCAGGUUUAUGAUUCAUUUUUCGUUCAAGGACCUCCAACUGAAAUAGUACAGGUCCUUGUUCCUGCUUUGGUGCACGGUUAUGAUGAUGCUAUCUACUCGAAUAUUGAGAGGUACUUACUGUACCAUCUGAUUGAUGCCACAAUUAAGUUGAUUUUGGUACUUUGGAGCAGUAUGAAAGUUAUUUUACAGCAGAGUUAAUUAAGAUUGUGCCUCAUUUAGCAACAAUGGUGACUGCAAUAAUAAAUCAUGUUAGUGCGUCACAACAAAUGUACUUCCUAGAUCAUAUUACUCGUCAAACCUCUUUUAACAUACCAUGAUUUUGGCCUUAUUUGACCAAAUCAUUUGAGGAAUCCUUAGCUAUUACUUAUAUUUGGUGGUAGUAUGAGAAUCCAGAUGUCAUGAAAAAUCAUUAGAAACUUUAGUUUUUAUUGGUACAUGAUAAGAUGUGUAUGUGAUCAACCAUAUAUAAUGCUCUUGUUUAUCUAGAUCUUGAUAUGCUGAUUAUACUGAUUUAAUACUGAGCAUAGUUAUCGGGAUCAGAUCGAACCAAGUGGUGGUGCUGGAAAAACCGGGAACCGGACCAUUAACCAAUCCAAUUCAAUUAUUGGAAUGGAUAUGUUCAAAAACGGGAAUGAACCGAUUAACCCGGUUGGAUUUUGGAUAACCAAUAUAAAACCGACUGACCGAGUACAUAAAACCGAUCCAAAUUACUUAAAUACCCUUAAACUUUUUUAUUAUUUAUUCGAGAGGGUAUUUGAAAUUAGGGUUAACCUUAUUUAAAUAUGACAGAUGAUACUCUCAAUCUUGAUGAGAUUUUAAUGAUAUCAAAAAGAAGAUAAGGGAGAUGAAAUUAGAGCACGCUAUAUAAGAAGAAUUUGAUUUGAGGACAAAUAAAAAUGAGGAGAACGAAAAAAAUAUUGGAACAGAUAAAAAUGAGUUCGAAAAUUUAGAUUAUAAUACAAAAAUUUACUACAUGGGUUAGAAUUAUCAUGGCAUAUUGAUGACUAAAAAGUUUCCAUCUAAUCAUGAAUUCAUGAUAAUUAUGUUGGAUAAACUAUUUCUUAUAUAUCAUUGAACAAUUGAUUUUAGAUUGGAUUAAUGUAAUCACGACCAAGAUUUUUUCAUGUGUUAUUUGAUCUGGAUAAUGUUUAUAACUUUAUAUACACAAUGUUGCUUGAUAUUAUCAUUCCACAUCUUCUAUCUAUUUUUUAAUUAGUUUUAAUAUUUUAGAUUUUUACUAUAUAUAAUUUUAAAUUGUUUAAUAUAUUUUAAAAUAUUUUUAAUUUAAACAUGUGGUUCGACCAAUUGAUCCACCGGUUCAACCAAUGACCCAGAGAACCAAGUCCUUGAGAUUCAUAGAUCAUUUGCUUCGAUAUUGGUUUAUGUUUUCACCUCAUUACUAAUCGUUCUUCUGUUGUAUUAUUCUAUUUUUCUAAAACAAGGACUAUGAUAAUAUAAUUUUAGUUAAAUACACCUUUUUGUAUUACUUAUACUUAUCACUUGCAUAAUUUCUUUAUGAGUAACAAACUAUCAAUAUUAUCAGAUAAGUUGAUAAUUUAAUCAUAGCAUAAUUUAGCUUCUUCUUCUUUUUUUAAAUCUAUCCAUUGUUUUCGCUGCAGAUGCACUAGGUGAUACUUAGACCACUUGCAUAUCAUGGUUGUUUUUGGAAGAUUUGAAUAUAACCAUUAACAGUCAACCACCGUUUGAUGAUCAGCACGUUCUAUCAUGGUUCAAAAAUUUGAUCAGUCAAUGUUUGUUAGUUGAUGUGUUUUGAUGAUCAACUUUUGCUAUUCAUCUAUUGUUUGACUUUCAAUUAUCAAAUUGUCAUUGGUGAUUGAUGAUUGCCAUUCAACAGGAUAGACUGUCCAAUGACUAUCACUUACUGAUUGGUCAUCUGCUGGCAAUCAACAAUCAUCUAUUGACAGCUUGUUGAUACUUGGUGAUCAUUAACUGAUGGUUGUUGGUAUGCUGAAGAUUAUUGACUGAAUAUAUAGUAUGUUUUUGGUCAUUUAUCAUCAUGGUCUAUUGGAUAAUUGAUGAUUAGUGAUCAUCAAUCUGACUGCUGGUUUGACUGUUAUUGGAAAUGUCUGUCAAUUUGUUAAAGAACAAAAGAUUACCGACUUGGUCUAUGCGAGCAACGGCUGUCAUAAUGAUUUCCUUCAUCACUUACACACUUUCGGAAUUUUAAGCUGUCACUUACGUGGCAAAUGUACAGGAUCAUAUAGCCAUGGCCAAUCCCUUGUCUCACCACUCCAUCUAUCCAUCUCUCAUUAUAAUUUGAUAUGAUUUCUAGUGACUAUAUCAAUAUUGGAUCUUUACUGACUGUAAAUGAUGUGUACUAACUUGUUAGUUAAAUAUAACCCAAUAUCCAGACUAACCUAACAGAUUUUGUUCUUGUGGUGUUCAUUAUAUUUCUUAUCAUUUCCUUUCUAUGUGUAAAGCAGGCAGCAUUUAUCUUUUCCUCUACUAUGUAUAUUACAGGUUACUGGUACGAUGCUUGCUUAAGAGCGAAGGGAUACGGCAUAUUGUCGGUGAAUUUAGAAUCCAAUGUAGCAGUAGCAAACAUGAUUAUGCACUUAAGCCAGAGAUGUUAGCAGUCAUGUCUAGGGUUGCACAGCUUCUCACUUCUGUUCCUGACAAAGCAAGAUUGCAAGCCUCAUCGGCACUUUCAUCGCAGUAUCCUUCUGAGAUAUUGUCUUGGUUCUAUAGAUGUAAUUUUAACGAUUCAAAGCUCAAUUUGGAUUCUGUUUGAUGAUUCUGGAGCUUCAUGUCAUGUAUCAUGAUUCCUUUUCAUGUUGAUACCAGGAGUGCGCUCAUUGUUGGUUCUUAAAAUUUUCACAUUAAGAUCAUAUGCUCAUUUAAUUUGCCCUUUUUUCUUUUUAUAAUGUUUUAUCAACAUCAUCUCCUCUCAGUAAAAUCAGUCAUAGAAAUCUCUUAUAUUUCCUAAUGUAGAUUACAUUUCAAGGAUACCUUUCAUUAUCAGCUAUUUUCUGUUUUUAUCCUUGAUUAGCUACUAGCUUGUUCUUCCAGCAAAUGGCUAGACAACUUCUGUGUGGAGCAGAAGAUUGUAACUUUGAAAUGUUGAACCCAAGAGAUGCCUCCGAUGCAAAUACUGUGGAUGGCUCAUUGUUAUUUAUCGGUGAAACAUUUUCAAGGAUUUGCAGGCGUGGCUCAACAGGUGAUAAAAAAAUAGUUUAAUGCUAAGUCUGGUCCUGCAAAUUAUUAUUGUUCCAGCAAAGCAACUUAUUGAAGUUAACUUACCUGACAGUAGAUAGGUUAAUUAUAGGCCAAGCAGAUGCUAAAAUUUUACUUUUAACAUUUAAUAUGAGCAAUUGAUAUAAAUUGAUCACAAAAACUUUACUUUUAACAGUUAGGUGUACCAUUGAUAGAAGAUAAAAUGAGGAAAAACCAUUAGAAGGAUAUAUGCAUGUUCAAUGGAGACCUAUAAAUUCCCUGGUGAGGUAAGAUGAAUUGAUCAAUAUUAGUGAUGAGGAAAAGUAGAGGACACAUAGGAAAAUUUUAUAUGAGCAGGAAAAGGAAACUUGACUGCUUUAUGUAACUAGGGAUAUUCACCUACCCAGAGCUUAAUGGGAAGAAAAAAUUCAUGCAAGCAAUCCCAAAUAAUUUGGAUCUGUGGCUUGUUGUUGUACCUUCUAGUAUACAAUUGUAAGAGAUCUUUAAUAAAAGAAUGAAAUGUAGUUAACCAUUAUGUUUUUCUUUGAAACUUUUUCAUUUUUACAUAUUGCUCCAUGAAUAUCAUUGGGCUGUUCCAUGUUGUGUUUCACAAUUAGAACAGUCUUCAUAUGUUACUGGGCUAUCAUCUUAAUUGUUGAUUUACAAGUUGGAUGGACCACUAAAUGUAAUGUAUGCCACGCAAUAUUGUCAGAUUUGGGAAUUUUAAGAUCUUGCUAGUGUCCUAUUUCUAUAUUGUUUUAGUCAUUAAGUUACUAUUUUUCAGAUAUUCUACUCAUAAAGGUGAUCCCUAGGAUUCUUGAUCACAUCCGAAGCUGCUUGUCAUCGAAUGCUGGUUCUGUUGCUUUUAAUAUGAUUGAAUCUAGUCCAAAAUCCCAUUUUUGGUUGUUCAUUAUGGAGGCAAUGAAAGAUCAAUAUGCCAUUGAAAGAUUUUCUGAGGAGCUACUACGGCAAUUAGCAACUCAGAAUGUAAGUGAUGUUGAAGCUUAUUGGACGCUUUGGUUGUUGUUUCAUCGGAUUGUCAAGCAAAAAACUAAUAUUAGGUGAGAUGGUGUCACCAUGUUAUCUAUGAUAGCAAGUUUGUUGCUAUUGUGUUGUUAAUAUUCUUCCUCCCAAUUGGUGCAUAUUCUGAAUGUGUUUUUGAUAUUAAAGAUUCAAAAUUCCCUAAAUCAAUAGCUACAGGAAAAGAACUUCAGCAAAAAAAAAAAAUGAUUUGAUAUCUACCGUCAAGCAAUAGUUUGUCAAACUCCUAUCUAUAAAUUAUAGGUUGCUCUUAAUGAGUAAGAUCAUGCAUGUGUAUAUGAAAUCUUGAAUCUAAAAUGCCUACUCUGGAUGAUAUAUCUUGCAUUAUUAGUUUUUGUUUUUCCCCACAGAAAUCAUUGCUUCUAUUCAAUGAUUAAUAUUGUCAUUGCUACGACUGGUUAAGUCAUUAUCUAACUAGUUGUGGUCUCAUGAUAAAACUCUGAUCUGAUACAGCAGAUACUGACUUUUCAUCUGGUUUCUUAAGUUUGACAUAUAAUCACAUAUAGCUUCAAUCUGGAGUUUAACUUUGACACACAUUUAUGAUGUUUGAUGCAUGAGUGUGUAAAAAUACAGUAUGCUUACCUUAACUGCACUUUUUAAUUAUGCUCAUUUCAGGUACAUCUUUGUUGACAAAUUUGUGUUUUGGAAAGUAUUUCCUAUCUGCUGCUUGAGAUGGAUUCUUCAGUUUUCGGUUUUUGAGUGCCCACCGAAUUUCGAUUCUGAGGCAAGAGCCCAGAGGACAUCAUCUUUUCUAGAUGUAUUGCAUCGAAUAAUUAGCAUUUGGUCCAGGCGUGAGUUUGUUCAAUCAUCUUCUAUGGAGCAGCAAGCUUGUAUCCUUCUGAGCAAUAGUUUCUUAGUUUAUUUUUCUUUUCCGUUACUCUUUUGUACUUCCUUAAGUGAAAAUCAGAUGUCACUUAUGCUGUUGCUUUAUGCAUUGAGAAAAUGUCUAAAGAGGAAUUAGAAACAACCAAAGAUAUAUUGCAUUCUAUUCUUCAAGGAGUCAGCUGUAAAUUCUUCUUCUAGAUUAAAUAAUUUUAUGUGAAUUUCUACCAAAGAUUCUAUAAUAUUUUUUUAUUAAACUUGGUUCUAAGAUUUGUAGGUAGACUGGAGAGCCCAAUUGAUUUAGUUCGGAAGAUGGCUAGCUCUGUUGCAUUGGUAUUUUCUAAAGUUGUUGAUCCAAAGAACCCUCUCUACCUUGAUGAUGAUUGUUCUGAAAUUAUUGACUGGGAAUUUGGGUUUAAAAGAAAGGAUGUGGUAACUACAGAUGAAACUAGAAAAGAUAAACUAAAUGGUACUCUGUCCAAGGAUAUGGAAAAAGAUAAACUAGAUGCUACUCUGUCCAAGGUUACAGAAAGUGCCUCUCAUGCUAAAAGGCUGAAAGAUACAAAGCAUCAUGCUGUAGAUGGUGGUAAAUUGAUUUCAGAAUGCAGGGUGAAUCAUUGUGCUGGCAUGCCAAACAAUGAACAUGCCUCUGCUGAAGAGGAUGAUGGUGAAGGCAAGAAUUCUGAUGCAUCUUCAAGUGACUCACUAGAACCAUAUGAUCUGUCGGACGGUGAUACAGAUAUGAAACUUUUCUCCCAGCUUGGUGAUAUUGCUGCAGCAUUACGGAAACCAGAUGAUCCAGAUGGUGUAAGUUGCUGUGCUUACUUUAUAUAGUCAUUGUCAGGUUAUCGUCUGUCAAAAAUUUUCACCUAUUUGAAAGUUUAGUGAAGCUAUUAAUGAAUGCCCCCGUUUGAACAUUCAUAAUGCCUUACUUAUAGGUGGAAAGAGCACUGGACAGUGCUGAAAAGCUUGUACGAGCAACACCUGAUGAGCUUCCCCAUUAUUCAGGUGAUCUUGUCAGAGCAUUAGUGCAUGUUCGUUGCUCUGAUGUAGCAGUUGAAGGAGAGGAAGAUUCUGCUGAAGGAAAAAGGCAAAAAGCACUGGUUGCGUUGCUUGUCACAUGCCCAUUUGAAUCAUUAGAUGUGUUAACCAGAUUACUAUAUUCACCAAAUGUGGAUGUUAGCCAACGGAUUCUGAUACUUGAUGUCAUGACUGAGGCAGCACAAGAGCUUUCAGAGAGUACGAUCAUUAGAAUGAAACAUCAGCAAAGGAAUUUAAUAUCAAACAUUUCAGGUCAACCAUGGUUUAUUCCUAGCAGUAGAGGACCACGUGGAGCUGGUCCUUGGAAAGAGGUUUCUGAUCCUGGAACUUCUAUCAGUUGGUCCCACCGUUAUGAAAGAGAAAUUCCUUCAAGAGCUGGUCAAAUAAAGUCAGGAAAAUCUCGUAAAUGGGGUCUUGUAAAAGCCAAGGAUCCAGAGUUGGAAUCAUCAAGAAACAGAUUUCCUCUUUAUGCUGCUGCAUUUAUGCUUCCUGUAAUGCAAGGAUUUGACAAAAAAAGGCAUGGAGUAGACCUACUCAACAGGGACUUUGUUGUCCUCGGAAAACUAAUCUACAUGCUUGGUGUAUGUAUGAAAUGCAGUAGUAUGCAUCCUGAAGCAUCAGCUUUGGCUCCUCCACUUCUUGAUAUGAUUAGAUUUAGGUAGUAGAAAUUUGAUUUUUUUUUUUUAUAUGUGAAUCUAAAGACUGAUGACCUCACAGGAGUGGUUUUAUUGAAUUUUCUUCAGGGAGUUAUCACAUCAUGCUGAAGCAUAUGUCAGAAGAUCUGUGCUUUUUGCUGCAUCAUGCAUACUGGUUGCUUUACAUCCAUCACAUGUUGCAUCUGCUUUAAUUGAAGGUAAUCAGGAAAUUUCCGAUGGACUCGAGUGGAUUCGGACAUGGGCACUUCAUAUUGCCGAAUCGGAUCCAGAUGCAGAAUGCUCAACGGUAUGUAUAUUAAAGCCCCAACCACAGAACAUGCUGUCUCCAUUUGUUAAUUUUAAAUAUGAAAAUUUUAACUUCGAAUUGAUUAUCUUUAUUUGAUAAUAGUACUCCAAGAAGCAAUUUAUAGUAAAGAAUAGUUGCAAUAUGAUUAUUUAAUUUCAAAGACAUUCAAAAUUGCUAAAUUUUAGAAUCCAUGUUGGUUUAGGAUUAAACAUUCCUUUUCUGAAGAUGCUGCAUGGUUUCCUGCACUAGUUUUUAAUCAUUUCUUUACAUUUAUAUCCUUUCCUUUUCAGGCCUCAACUCAUGAAAUUUUCUACUUGUACAUAUAGUUGCACCUGAAGUCAUUUAUGCACAUAAAUUCCCUCAUUCCUUUAACAUUUUUUAGUUUUGUUUAGCAUGAUCCAUGAGUCUUACAUGUGUCUUAUUGCUAAAAUGUGGAAAUUAAGAUAUGAAACUAUCACCAUUAUGCCAUAUAUCAUUCUAAAAGAAAAAUUCUUUGUUUGCACUUUGCCAAUAAAUCUAAAAAAUAUAAUAUGUGAUUUAUGGAUUCUCAUUGCAAGUUAGGAACAUAAGUAUUGGAUUUUGUUUUACAAGAAAUGAAUUUUAUUGCUAACAGGUUACAGAUUUUCAUCAACAUAUUCUUUGAUUUAUGAACUUGAAGCUUGGACUACAACACACCGUAAUGUAUUUUCUUUUCUGAGAAAUGAACUUUGUUCCAAACGUGUUGCAGAUCUUCAUCUAAAUGUUCUUAAGUAUAUUAACUUGAAUCUUGGAUUACAACACGAAGUAACAUAAGGUUACUUGUCUGCAUUAUUAAGACUAGUUAUAUAGAUAACUUGUUUAAUGAGAUAACAGUUCGACAACUCUAUCAAUGACAGAUCUGGUUAACUAGCCACACUAUCAAUGACCAAUCUCCAUAAUGUGAAAAAUAGCAACAUGAAUGCUCUUCUGAUUUCAUUGGAAAUAUGUAUUGAUAUUGAUACUUCGAAUCAAUAGCAAAUUUCAUCAACUAAAGAAGACAUUAUUAAAGUAACUCUUCCCCAUCAUCCAAAAUCCUCUGUGUGACAUUUAUGAAUGAAAAGUAUUGAAAGAAUUCUAGUUCAUACCUUGGUUACUGUUUUGCAGCAAAUCUGUCAAUAGAUUGGGGUGUCUUAUCAUAUAUUCUUCAGCUUAUUUGUUUAUUCAUUUUUUACCUGAUACAUCAUAUAUGUACUGUGACAACGAGUUAUCUUAAUAUGCAGAUGGCCAUGACAUGUCUUCAGCUUCAUGCUGAGAUGGCUCUCCAAACAUCCCGUGCACUUGAGUCGGCCAAGUCUGUCAAAGCACGAACAAAUACCCUACCUUUGAAGUUGGAUGAUAUUAUAAUACCAUUCUCGAACAUGAGAUAAGAAAUGAGAACAAUCUGUAGUUGGAUUUUGAUGUACUUAUGCCCUCUUUUUCUAUCAUUUGCUUGAUCUUCUUUAUCUUGCAGAAGCAACAAAUAACUUGCAUCAUCCUAUGAGGUACAGAUACAAUUAAAGGUUAUUUUAUGAACUACAUAUACUUGUUUAAUUUGUUAAUAUAAGUGAAACACACAAUUAGCUGUUUUUCUAACUCUUGUGUAGAAUAAUGGUGGUAUGCUUGGUAUGUAUCUGUCUGAGCUAAAACCAAUAUGGUAUUGGACUAGUUUCAACAUUAAACCAAUAUCUUUCUUUGACAUAUCUCAUCAGUAUCAGUUAAUACUGUUAAUAUCACUGUUCACUCCAAGCUACAAAAGUGCAUCUUAUGUUCAAUGCAUUCAACAUCUUUAGGGUCUAGUAGAAAACAGCUGGAUGAAGCUAGAUAUUAUAAUUUCUUUGAAUCAUGUUACCACUUAAUGAUACAUCCUAAUCAGAGCAUCAUGAAUUUUGAUUGGACUGUCAUACCAGUCCCAUAAUUUAAGGCUUUAUUAGCAGCAGGAGGUUGAUACUCAUUUUGUAAGGCUAUAUACUGAUUUCAUCAUUUUGUUUCUUUGACAGUAUCAAAUAGAUGCUGUAGCACUUAACAAGCGUAGGAUGCUGUGUCCAGUAUUGUUGUUUCUGCUAUCUAUGUUUGUAUGGUUGUUAUGGUCUCCACUUGUGUCACAUCUACAGGAAAUAGUAGCUGAACAGUAUAUAUAUAUAUAUAUAUAUAUAUAUAUAUAUAUAUAUAUAUAUAUAUAUAUAUAUAUAUGUUGAACAGUAUAUCGUUUGGUAUAUAGUAUGUAUCAAACGAAUAUCGAAAUAUCGGUAUAAUAUGAUAUUUCAAACUUUGUUCUAAACUAUUGUGUUGCCCGAUCUCUCACUGCAUUCCACCUGACAGGUUUUGGUUAUCCUAUGAGGUGUGUCCACUUGAGAUAAAUCCCUCUCUCAGGUAGAACUUUCAUGUUUGUCUAAUGAUGCAUGGUCUAGAAUUUGAGUGUUCCUAUCAUCUAUAUCAUUUUAUCUGGAUAUGAGAAGCUGUAGCACUAACCAAUAUCUGCACUACAGGAAAUAAUUAAGUUCUAUCUUCUGGAAGUCAUGUAUGCUUCGCGGUUCUCUCACGUCGACCGCUGUCUCAAAAUAAUUAAGUUCAAAUCAAUGGUUGUACAGCCAUAAAGCCUUUAUAUAACUCAAUAUGUGAAUCAAGCCUGCAUGGAUGCGUGAUGGAGGCCAUGCAAUGUUCCUAAUUUUUCGAGUACUAAACAACAUAUUCUAACCGGGCUUUUGAAAACACGUUCCUUCAUGUUUUUAUUAUUUAAUUAUUUGAAUUUAUUAUGUUUUUGGAACACAAUAAUUUCCUACCUUCUCAGUGAAGAAGAGCCAAAAGCACGUCUUCAUCCUUGUGUUCCUUUUCUUCUUUCUUCCAGAGACAUUGGCCUUUGUUCCAGAAACCUUACGUGCCAAGUCACACUUUAUCUUUCUUCUUUCCCAUCAGAUAAUAAUAAUAAUAAUAAUAAUAAUAAUAAUAAUAAUAAUAAUAAUAAUAAUAAUAAUAAUAAUCAAUAAAAUAAAUAAAUAAAUCUUGGGGCGUAACAUUCUCGAUGCCCACGUGACUCGAGCCCCCAACAAUCCAUGUCACGUGAUGGCAAGCUCCACUUGGACCCCAUGCGGCUUCCCGCCAUUGCGCGUUGAAACGUGGCACCAGGCUAUCCUACUUUCGAUGCCAUGUGGCGUUUUGACCGGCUCGUUAACGGUCCUCGGGCACAUCGAACCGUUAGGAGAGCCACGAAAAAGCGAUUUGCCAUCACCAGUAGUACCGGUUCGCCACGAUGUGGGACCGAGACUGCUCCCAAUCCAUGUCGCUGGGUAUUUGGGCGGGUGGAAUCGUUGCUCGUCGUAUAUUUCCAUCACCCACCUUGGCUUCCCCUAUAUAAGGACAAACCCCUGGCCUGUUUCUUGAACUCGAAUGCUCGUCUCGCCGUUCUCCUCGAUAGCAUUUCGACUUCGCUCUAGUUUCUGAUCGUGAUGGGUAAAACAGUCUUUCUCCCCUUCACAUCGUUCAUCUUGUUAGUCUUCUAUUUGGCUUGUGAUCUUAUUUGUUGGCUCGGAUUUGUAGGCAAGAUCAAGAUCGGGAUCAAUGGUGCGCUUCUCUUGCCCUCUUGUCUUCCUUGUAUCUCCUUAGAGGGAUGUUUCUUUGAAGUACCGGUGAUGAUUUUUAGGGUUUUUUUGGUUUGUAAAUGGAGCGAUGCUUUAUCGAUAUACGUUGAUUUGUAAUCUCGUAGGGUUCGGAAGGAUCGGGCGAUUGGUGGCGAGAGUGGCUCUCCAAAGCAGCGACGUGGAGCUCGUCGCUGUUAACGAUCCUUUCAUCACCACCGAUUACAUGGUAAGACGCUCCUCGCUUCUCUAUUCCGUUCUUACUUGAAGCCUUAAGGAUCCAUACAAGACAAGCUAUCUGCUAAUGGAUUGACUAUAUGUCCAAGAGUAAGCCUGACUUGUUUGCUCAGAUUCAGAAGAGACAUGUUCCGUGAACACUCGGAACCCUUGUGGUCACUUAUGGAGAAGAUGGAACUUCCUUUCUCAUCUAAGUGGCAAGAAGAAUCGACGACCAUGCCAUUAGUAGUUAAAAUUAUACAACUUCUCUAGUCAGAUCGAGUCACUUAUUUGGUGGUCCAUCUCUACAAGAACAUGGCCUCCGGUGUUGAGAUUGCCUAUUUGUUAUUCCUGACUUCACUGAUGCAGUUUAUGAUCUUUGUGUGCGCAUAAAUUCACACGUUCAGAAAAGAAAAUCCUAUCAAAUGUUCCCUCAUAUUGUUCCUCCGGUUGCAAUUUGCUGAAUACUUGGUUUGCUCAAACUUAUCGCUAGAUCUUGUGUUUUAUAGCAUCUUCCGGUUGGAUUGAGUUGCUCACUGUUUAUGACUUCGCAGACGUACAUGUUUAAGUAUGACACCGUGCAUGGUCAAUGGAAACACCACGAUGUGAAGGUUAAGGAUUCCAAGACACUUCUCUUUGGUGAAAAGGAAGUCACUGUUUUUGGACUUCGGUAGGUUGGAUUUCAGUCUUCUUUUUCCUGAUAGUGAUCAAACUCAAUACUUCAUAUCGUUUGGAGGAUACUUGAACUUACUAGAAUUGGUUCCUCAAGGAACCCUGAGGAGAUCCCAUGGGGUGAGACUGGUGCUGAGUAUGUUGUUGAGUCAACUGGAGUUUUCACUGACAAGGACAAGGCUGCUGCACAUUUGAAGGUCAUCUCUAUUAGAAUGUUUUUUCUGAUGAUAUUCUCUCAGUUGGUUUUGCUAUCAUACUGAUGGAAGUUUACACUGAUGUUUUACUUGCUUUUGUGCAUUCUUUAAUUCCAGUUCCAAUAGUGAACGUUUAUUCGACUUAAAUGUCCAAAGAAAAGAAAUUUAAUGCAAUUAAUUAGCAGUACAUAUUUUUCAUGCUAGCGUUGGAUUAUCAACCUGAAAAGUAAUUUGCAUCUAACGGAUAAGGAAGGUGGAUCAAACUUAUUUUAACUUUGCCUUGAUGUCAGAGAUGGUGUCAUGAUGGCACUUGAUGACCAAUCUAAAAUGAACAGGAAACUCGAUUCAAUUUUGCUAUUAGGUGAUGAAUCUUAGUUCAUUUAGCUAUCGCUCACAAAUUGCAACCUUAAUCUCUGUCAUGCGAAAUAUUCAUUGACUUGUGAUGGAUAUUUUACAAGCUUCAACUUACUGUUUUGAGAUUGAGAAAAUAUCUUCGCUUUACCCUUCCGUUUCUUAUCCUUAUCUGAUUGCUUUUCAUAAUCAUAGGGUGGUGCAAAGAAGGUGAUCAUUAGUGCUCCUAGCAAAGAUGCUCCCAUGUUUGUGGUGGGCGUGAACGAGCAUGAGUACAAGCCGGAUAUUGACAUAGUCUCCAAUGCCAGCUGCACCACUAACUGCCUGGCUCCCCUAGCUAAGGUCUCAUUUGCCUUCAUAUAUAGUGUACCUUAAAGAACGUGAAGCCUUUUAGAAAUAGAGCUCAUCUUAUGUAUGUCUGGAUCAUCGCAGGUUGUCCAUGAUAGAUUUGGUAUCAUUGAGGGGUUGAUGACCACAGUACACGCAAUUACUGGUAAUUUUUUUGUGAAACAUAGUAUCACUUUUGUUCUUUUUUUGUAACUCUAUUUUUAUGCUCAAUGGUUUUUUUUUGUUCUAUUUUCUUUUCCUUUGUUUUUAGCUACCCAAAAGACUGUUGAUGGACCCUCUAGCAAGGACUGGAGGGGUGGAAGGGCAGCUAGUUUUAACAUCAUACCGAGUAGCACUGGAGCUGCCAAGGUAUGCUCAUACGUUACUCUGUCAACGUUAAUCCCCUCUCAAAACAGAGUUUAGUUGUCAGUCACACCCCCAUUAGCUGGGGUCAUCUUUGUUUGAUUCUUCAAAUAUGUAUGUCUCCUAUCCUUCUGUCUUGUUUGAAUAAUGCUUAAAAAAUGUUUGAACUUCUAGUUUGAUCAUGACUUCAUACAUGACAUUCCAUAUUUCCAUAUCUGUAGUGUUUGAGCAAGUUUUGGAAACAUUAAAUGCCAUUUAAAGGCCUCAUUUCUCAUCAUAUAUAUUACGAUUUUUGAGUUGGCCUUGUUGUGUGGAGAUGAAUCAUCUGAGUAAUGUGUUGAAUGAUUAUAAAUUAUACAAGUUUUAUAGAUAUAAAUAAUAAUUUAAUGCUUUUAUUAUCCUCAAAUAUUAUGGCUUGCAUCCUGAGUUUGGAUCGGAUCGUGGAUGAAUCUUUUUUUUUAAUUUGAUUACUGAUUCAUGUCUCAUUUUUUGGUUGAUCAGUGGCUUCACUUACAGUUGUGUGUUUUCUUGAUUGUCUAGGCUGUUGGGAAAGUUCUCCCUGCUUUGAAUGGGAAACUGACGGGGAUGGCUUUCCGUGUUCCUACUGUGAAUGUCUCUGUGGUGGAUCUCACUGUUAGGAUUGAGAAGGCUGCAACAUACGAUCAGAUAAAAGCAGCGAUCAAGUAUGUAUUCUGAAUAUUUUGCUGUAGAUACCUAUUCUAAAACAUUAAAUAGUUCAAGUAUAAUGUUGUCGUAUGCAUGAUAUCAGAUUUUAGAUAUAUUCUUUCUUUAAUAGGAGUACUUGCUAUGCUCGAUCUCUUAUUCUAUUUCGUGUGGCUUAUGUACGGUGUCAGAGACCUCAGGUAUAGUAUUUUGAUGCCAGAAGACUUGGGAGGUGGUGUAAUUUGUUCUGAUGGUGGGAGUUCCUUAUAUGUAUAUCUUGCAUUAUUCUAGUCUUACUCCUCAAUCAUUAAUGAUAGGGAAGAAUCCGAGGGCAAGCUGAAAGGAAUCUUGGGUUAUGCUGAUGAGGACUUGGUUUCGAUGGACUUUGUUGGUGAUAACAGGUGCUGUCUUAUGUAUAUAUAUAUAUAUAUAUAUAUAUAUAUAUAUAUAUAUAUAUAUAUAUAUCACAAAGAAAUUAGUACAGGAACACUCGUGGUUACUGAGAGUAACUCCCUGUUGCAGCUGCUUUUUAUUCUGUUUAAUUUGAAUCGUUCAAACAGGUCGAGCAUUUUUGACGCCAAAGCUGGGAUUUCUUUGAAUGAACAUUUUGUUAAGCUCGUGGCUUGGUACGAUAACGAAUGGGGUUACAGGUACUUUAAAAGUUUGUGUAUCUUAGGUAUUUGGUGGACUUCUCCUCUUACUGUCUUUUAAAUUAUUAUUAUUUCUUUUUUGAAUUUUACAGCUCGCGUGUGGUCGAUCUGAUUCGUCACAUGGCUACCACCAAGUGAAAUUUAGUUGCUUAACCCACUAUCUGCUGGUGUCGACUUGUUUGUGGUUUAUGUUUUCUUUAAAAUAAUUACCGUGUGAUUGGACUCGGGAUGGUUGUGUGACGCGACUGAUCUUUGUCUUAGUCGAGACUCGCGUGGAUCGAAUCUGGAGGAUCGUUUUUUCUACUGGUUGUGAUUGGUAUAGCCGGAAUCACCAGGCUUCUUGCACCAUGUUUUAGCUUCUGGUAAUUAGCUGCUACUGUUUCUUUAGACUGAGGUGAUGGUGAUUAGCCUUGCGGUCGAGAACUUGUGCUCGGUCUGUGGGCUAGUGUUUUCUAACAAUUUUACAUGUUUCCAAGUUGUGUUUUCAGUUCACUCAUGGUCUCUAUUUUCUACAGUUCAUAUGAAGUUUUAUUAAGAUUUUAUUAAGCCUUUGAACCGAGUAGAGUUCUUUUUUUUUUUUUUUGACAAAUGUUUGCCAAACACAAUGCAGAAAGAAGAACAGAGUCGUUAAAUCUCUCUUAACAUUCUGUAGUAAAGAUCCUCAGAGUACAAGAUAUUUCUCUGCGAAACCAUUUCUCUUAAAUCUCUCCGAAACCAUCAUCAUUCUUCUCCUUCCCGUGUCAAUAGGAUAAUCAUUCUUCUCCUUCCCGUGUCAAUAGGAUAAAGAUACAAGGCUAGCUCCGUUGGUGAUCAACCACAACAAUAUCCUGCAAUCAGGGCUGAUGGUAACAGAGAUUAACGUGUCAUAACAUGCAAUAUGUCGACUGAAAGUCAUCCAUAUUUCUUCCAAUCUGUAGAUACAAAGCCUACAAGUCCAGUUGAAGUACUUGUAAAAAGUUUAGUGCCUAUCCAAUAAGAACUAUCAAACAAUAUUGGAACCAAAGACUUCCGUUAGUUAAGCCAGUAUUACCUCUAUUAAGAUUAUCUUAUAAAAUUAAGAAACCAAGAUCCAGAAAACUUACAUCAAAUCUUUCACCAAAGAAUGUAGUAGAAUAUGAAGCAAGUAGAAUUUGCACGGAAAGCCAAAAUUUUACCUGUAGAUUUCCAGCGAGGACUACUGGCUUCGAAGAGUCAUACAUCCCAAAGUAAAGACCACGAUAGACCAUAAUCCCAACGCAUGAAAUAUUAAAUCCUUUCUAAAGUCCAGCAAUGCCAAACCCAACUGCAGGGUCUUCCGGUAAACAUCACCAAGACCACUGAAUUGCCGUUCCCCGCCCUUCUUCGCUGCCUUUGCAUCAUUUGCCAAAUGCGUACGAGCAUAGUCCACAGAGUACACGAAAACCACUGAACGAGCACCAGCAGCACCACCUGAAGCUAGAUUGCCAGCAAACCAUUUCCAGUGUCCAUCUUUGUCUUUCUUAAAAUUAAACAUCCUUUUGAAGGAAUCCUUCAAGGUAAAGUUCAGAGCCUGGAAGCGAUAAACUCAGUUUAUCAGUAAGUGGAGCUGAAGGGGGGAAAAAGCACAAUAAGCAAAACGGUAAGAAGGGCAAUUGGUAUUCCAGAAAGUGAAACUAUAAAUCAAACUAUAAAUAAUGCCAUUUGUUUCAUAUAUAUAAAGUGACUGCAAAAAUUGUACAUUCUUUUUUGUACAAAUUAUCAUAAAACAUGAUAACUAUGGGUAAAUUGAACCAACUGGUGACUGGUUAAUUUAACCGACUGAUGCUCCAUUUCCACAUUGUAACAACUGCUUGUAGAGAACAGAAAUCAUUCCAAUAAGUAGGUCAUGCAUCAAAAGCCAAGACCAAGCAGCAUGAAGUUUGAUGGUCACACAGAUUCCGCAAUUUUAGUUACCACCACUAUGCUGACAAACUAGAUUACAGAUCAAUAUCUGAGACUAUAACACUGAAAUCACUGUUUGAUGAUGGCUUAUCUAUGUUCGCAACAUAAGUUUUGAUAUUUAGACAAAACAUGAUCUAUAGUACAAGAAUGUCAUUAACGAAGAAAAACAUAUAAUGACACAGUAAGAAGAGUUUCUGAGCAAAAGAACAAUAUCAAAGUAGUUAAAAGACCAUGAAAACCAAGCCAAAUCCAGCCUGUUAACUACCAGACAUUUAAAGAAGCAGGUGCAAACUGAAACUUGACGAUCCAACACGCCUUCAUGGUGAUUUUUGUAUGAAGAAAUUCUGGGAUUAAAUUGAAUAAAUGUGUAACACAAACACAUAUAAGUUUACCUGAGCGGCAAAAUAACGAAUGACAUUAGCUGUGUUCCCUCUCCAUAGAGACAAAGCACCUUCAUCCUUAAUCGUUCAGGCAAAGCUGUCUCUCAUACAAAGAUGGCUACACAGGCUGCAGUUCAAAGCUUGUGGACCUCGAGAAAAUCUGGACCCGAGGGGGAAUGGGCUGGCAACUUUCUGCAUUACGAUUGGGUGAUUAACUUGAUCAGCCAUGGCAUGCCGAUAAAAUGACCUACAAAACAACCACUUUGAAGUUCUGCAGAAGAUAUUCUGAGAUUCAAGCAACAUUACUAAGAUAAAUUAUAACAUAUGGUCACUGCCAUAUUAACUCAAAGCAUGAGCAAUUACCAAGUCGUAGUAUUCCUUCAAAGAAUUAACAUGUCUACAGAUGUGGUGAGGUAGGAAAAAGUCAAAUGAACAAACAAUUUGCAUUACAGGACAUACAAAAUGUAAUAGCAUGAACAAAAUAGAAGGAAUAAAUCAUCAUAAAAGCAAACUCUAUUGUUAGUUCCAACUGAACUGCCAUGAUCACGGAACACAAAGUCUAAUUACUAGUUGAUCAUUAAACAACAAAACUUUGCUCCAACUACUGCUACAGCUCUGUUAUCUUUGUAUUCUUAAAAAAUCAAUGGGUCAAUGAAGAUGCAGCUGGCAGAUUUUGCGUUGGCUUCAUGCAUCUCUAUUAAUUUAUAACUCAUAGAUGAAAAGGUGGAUAUUCUUUAGAGAUCUGAGCAAAUGAAGCCAAAACUGCAAUCACGAAUACCCAACAGGCACCCUUGACAAGGUAAUAUGGGUAAUAUCAUCCCCAACAAUCUCAACUAUGUAUUAUAAAUUUAGCCACAUAAAAACCGCAAGUUAUAAAUCAAAAUAGGUAUCGUGAUGAGAUGAGAAGCUACAAGCUGCAAGAUCUAAAACCUCCAAGUCACCCUGAGAGGUCAACCACCUCGAAAGCUAUCGAGGACGGAAUUUGCCAACAAGGAUUACAGCAAAAGAGAGCAGAUGGGAUUCGUACACGAAAUCAAGUAUAUAGAACAAAAUCACCCUUAAAACCAUUGCAGAUCUACCUGAUCUAACAGUUUGCAGGACAACCAAAUCAACAGUCAUACCCACCAUAUCCAUGUCUUAAAACAAGAUUCCCAACCCUAAAUCGAUCGAAGUAUGAACGAGAAAAUGGAAAGCGCGACAACGAUAUGGAGAAAGAAAUAGAUAUCUACCAAACGGAUAGCUUAAUCAAAGAUACCACCGAUCCGAAACUUAGUAGAGAGCACACUUCUAAAUAUCUUCAAAAAGACUCGAAAAUAGAAAGAUGGAAGACAAGAAUCGAUCGAUCCACUCAGAUACACGAUCAGCAAUCACAUAAACGACAAGGCCUUUAAAAUAGAUUCAUAUUCUUAGAAAUCAAGAAAGAGUUCAUAUGGAAGUAGGGUUUUACCCUUCCGAAGCGUCUCCCUCUUGUCUCGGAGACAAGGCGAGAUGCGUUGGAAACGCAACGACGAGACCGAGAGAGGGAGUGGAGCGGUUAAGCCACUCCUGUGCUGUAUCAAAGGGCUUUCUGUUAACGUGCAAACCAUCGUCAGCGGGACUUGAUAUAUUGACCGUUGGAUCUCAUCAAAGUACCGACGAGCAAUAUGAUGAGCGGCGGAGCUUGAUUCUUUGUAAUUUGGACCAUAUAUUUCGAAGGUGCACGUGGCGGAGUAAAAAAAAAAAUACAACCAAGUCAUGCUUGUUGACCCGUUCGUAUACCGACUACUGUGUACCUCCUAUACGCAGGUGGGACCCGAUCAGUGAAGGAAGGCGGCAGUGACGACAUUCAAAAAGGUCGUCGGAGGCAUACUUCCACCUGCGUGCCGGCCACGUGACCGAACGCCGCUACCUACUGAACCGUGGCGAAUCUCUAUCGCAAUCGAGGCGAACCGGCGGAAACGGCUUUACUGGAGAGGAGAGAGAGAGAGAGAGAGAUCAGAAAUGAGAAUAAUAAUAAUAAAUAUUUCGAAUAUCAAUUUUCUUUUACUCAAAAGAUUAUUUAAAUCAAGAAAAGCUUAAAAAAGUGCCUCUCAAGACCAAAAUAGGGCAGAAUACAAAACUCAAGAUAAUUUUUUUUUCAAAAAAAUAGCACGGUAAAAAUAGUAUGAGUAAUAGAUUUGAGAUUUAAAUCUAACCUCAUGUACGUUAUUUAAUAUAAUAAAAAUAAAUGUACAUGCGCAAAAUAUGAAUAUUUAUAAUAUUAACCACACAUCACCAAAAACCUCAUGCCACAACUGGAACAGGUCAACAACGUUGGCCAAACGACCGAUUCCCACGCACGUAAAACGCUCCUCGCAACCGCCAAGCUUUGAGGUAGCAUCUCCGACUAUCCAUCCCGGCAACUGAAACACGCUAUAAAACCCUCCUUCCCAUCCCACAUUCCUCCUCAGGCCUGCACAGGAGGAGAAACAAGCCACCCCAAAUAAGUUUCUCUUUCUCUCUCGCUACCAUCUCUGCCGUAGCUCCAAGGCCACCGUCGUCAGCAAUGGAGAUGGGAAAGAUCGCCUGUGCCAUCCUCGUUGCCGCCGCGUCGGCCACCACCGCCCUUGCAGCCGAGGCCCCGGCUCCCGGCCCCGCCAGCGCCUCCUUCGCGGUCACCCCCGCUUUUGGAGCCGCCGUCGGGGCCGCCGUCCUCUCCUUCUUCGCCUUCUACUUGCAGUAGCCUCAAUGAGCGAGAGAGAGAGAGAGGGAAAGAAAGAAGGCAGCCCUAUAUGGGGAACGAAUGACACGACUGUUCUCUUUGUUUGUGAUCUAUUUCAACGUUGCAUCGUCCUUUGACUACCAUCGUUGUUGCCAUCUUUCUAUUAUGGAAUUAAUUUCCGAUUGAAAUGAAUGCACCAUAACAUUUGCAAUCACUUUGUUACCAAAGCUAUUGUUAAUUCGAAUUAGGGAGCUAAUCCGACAUGAAUCUUCCAUUGUUAUCAUAGCCAUCAGAGUCAAAGCAAGUUGCAUCACCAAACUCCUAAACGGACGACACCAUCACAUGAUGCAUAAGCUUGGCAGUGCAACAAUCAAAAGAAAACUAAGCACGUCGCCAUCGUAAUAUACACCCAACGUGAUGCAAAAGACUCUUCGAGGAGUAAUUAUUGAGUUUAAAUUUCC
rnacentral:lncRNA from 1 species